UUGUGUCACUUUUUACACUGGUCC
rnacentral:siRNA from 1 species